rnacentral:rRNA from 1 species
AUUGAACGCUGGCGGCAUGCUUUACACAUGCAAGUCGAACGGGAACAGGCCUUCGGGCGCUGACGAGUGGCGAACGGGUGAGUAAUGCAUCGGAACGUGCCCAGUCGCGGGGGAUAACUAUCCGAAAGGAUAGCUAAUACCGCAUACGAUCUGCGGAUGAAAGCGGGGGACCUUCGGGCCUCGCGCGAUUGGAGCGGCCGAUGUCAGAUUAGGUAGUUGGUGGGGUAAAGGGUCACCAAGCCAACGAUCUGUAGCUGGUCUGAGAGGACGACCGGCCACACUGGGACUGAGACACGGCCCAGACUCCUACGGGAGGCAGCAGUGGGGAAGUUUGGACAAUGGGCGCAAGCCUGAUCCAGCAAUGCCGCGUGCAGGAAGAAGGCCUUCGGGUUGUAAACUGCUUUUGUACGGAACGAAACGGCUCUGGUUAAUACCCGGGGCUAAUGACGGUACCGUAAGAAUAAGCACCGGCUAACUACGUGCCAGCCGCCGCCGUAAAAC